UAAGCAAUGGGGAACCACAGGAAG
rnacentral:piRNA from 1 species